rnacentral:rRNA from 1 species
AGUGAACGCUGGCGGUAGGCCUAACACAUGCAAGUCGAACGGCAGCACAGUAAGAGCUUGCUCUUACGGGUGGCGAGUGGCGGACGGGUGAGGAAUACAUCGGAAUCUACUUUUUCGUGGGGGAUAACGUAGGGAAACUUACGCUAAUACCGCAUACGACCUACGGGUGAAAGCAGGGGAUCUUCGGACCUUGCGCGAUUGAAUGAGCCGAUGUCGGAUUAGCUAGUUGGCGGGGUAAAGGCCCACCAAGGCGACGAUCCGUAGCUGGUCUGAGAGGAUGAUCAGCCACACUGGAACUGAGACACGGUCCAGACUCCUACGGGAGGCAGCAGUGGGGAAUAUUGGACAAUGGGCGCAAGCCUGAUCCAGCCAUACCGCGUGGGUGAAGAAGGCCUUCGGGUUGGAAAGCCCUUUUGUUGGGAAAGAAAAGCAGCAGGUUAAUACCCCGCUGUUCUGACGGUACCCAAAGAAUAAGCGCCGGCUAACUUCGUGC